GGGCGGAUAGCUCAGCUGGGAGAGCGCUGGCCUUACAAGCCGGAGGUCACAGGUUCAAGUCCUGUUCCGCCUACCA
rnacentral:tRNA from 1 species